AACUGUCUUUUAUCUUUGCAAACACAUAGGGCCAGAUUUAUCAUUAGCUCAGGUCAGAAUAAUGGAGUGAAAAAGUCCCAAAAAAAGUCUCAAACACUAAAACUGCACACAAAUUUGUGACUUUUUUUCUGCUCUGCACUAUGCUCGCCAGUUUUCUGAAAGUGGACGUGUUUUCUUAUGUAAAUGAAUCUCUAGACAGAUUUACUAUUGGGACUAUUUAAAAAGUCGC